GUAGGUGGCAAGCGUCGUCCGGAAUUAUUGGGCGUAAAGCGCGCGCAGGCGGUUCUUUAAGUCUGAUGUGAAAGCCCACGGCUCAACCGUGGAGGGUCAUUGGAAACUGGAGAACUUGAGUACAGAAGAGGAAAGCGGAAUUCCACGUGUAGCGGUGAAAUGCGUAGAGAUGUGGAGGAACACCAGUGGCGAAGGCGGCUUUCUGGUCUGUAACUGACGCUGAGGCGCGAAAGCGUGGGGAGCAAACAGGGAUUAGAUACCCUGGUAGUCCACGCCGUAAACGAUGAGUGCUAAGUGUUAGGGGGGUUUCCGCCCCCUUAGUGCUGCAGCUAACGCAUUAAGCACUCCGCCUGGGGAGUACGGCCGCAAGGCUG
rnacentral:rRNA from 1 species